UUUUAUUUGAGAGUUUGAUCCUGGCUCAGGAUGAACGCUGGCGGCGUGCCUAACACAUGCAAGUUGAGCGAUUUACUUCGGUAAAGAGCGGCGGACGGGUGAGUAACGCGUGGGUAACCUACCCUGUACACACGGAUAACAUACCGAAAGGUAUGCUAAUACGGGAUAAUAUAUUUGAGAGGCAUCUCUUAAAUAUCAAAGGUGAGCCAGUACAGGAUGGACCCGCGUCUGAUUAGUUAGUUGGUAAGGUAACGGCUUACCAAGGCGACGAUCAGUAGCCGACCUGAGAGGGUGAUCGGCCACAUUGGAACUGAGACACGGUCCAAACUCCUACGGGAGGCAGCAGUGGGGAAUAUUGCACAAUGGGCGAAAGCCUGAUGCAGCAACGCCGCGUGAGUGAUGAAGGCCUUCGGGUCGUAAAACUCUGUCCUCAAGGAAGAUAAUGACGGUACUUGAGGAGGAAGCCCCGGCUAA
rnacentral:rRNA from 1 species